UACGGAGGGUGCAAGCGUUGUCCGGAAUCACUGGGCGUAAAGGGCGCGUAGGCGGCUCAUGAAGGCUGUGGUGAAAGUCCGGGGGCUCAACCUCGGAUCGGCCGUGGCGACUCGUGGGCUGGAGCACUGUAGAGGCGGGGUGGAAUUCCGGGUGUAGCGGUGGGAAUGCGUAGAGAUCCGGAAGAACACCAGUGGCGAAGGCGGCCCGCUGGGCAGUGGCUGACGCUGAGACGCGAAAGCGUGGGGAGCAAACAGG
rnacentral:rRNA from 1 species